GACGCAUCCCAGACUCAAACCCAACCCGCUCUAAAUAGUGCCUGCUCGACACUAUUGGUGGUCAUGAGCGUCAAUCACCACUCUUACCUUAUUCAUACGGUCACAUAUGUGUCAGCUUUUGUCCAAUGUGGACUUCCCUGUCCUUGUUUUCUCAUGGUUGAUUCUUUCCUAAGCUGAGGACACUCCACUUCCCACGGAAGAUGCACUACCCUUUUUUAACAGAUCCUAAUGGAUGUCUAACCCUAGGUCUGUAAACCUUUCCUUUCCUUACACCCCACGCACUAGUUGAUGUUGUCACCGACACGGGUAUAAAAAUCGACCCAAAUGCAGGGUAGUGUAUAAUGAACAGGAUUUAUUAAAUAAAAAACACAAAACAGGAACCAAGAUAUGACAUUAGAGGACAAGGAUUCUAUGCUAUGGCAGCACGGCGCGGCUAAAUAGACAAUUAGACAUGAGGAACAGGUGUGCAGAAGCGGGGAGGACGAGACAAGGACGGGGCACGAGGCCAAAGUCCGGGCUGGAUCUUGACAGAUUUAGUUUUAUGUUGUUAUUAUUUGUUCCUUUAAAUUAUCUGAUUAAUCCUUGUCUUGUGUGAUGUGUGCUCAGCCCUCACAGCCUGGCCGUGGAGAAUGCAGGCAUAAGUGCAACCCCUACAUGCAUAAACAUGGAUCAGAUAUUUAACACCUGUUAAAGCCUUCAGCAACAUGCAGUGACCAAAGACAUUUAGCGUGUGUUUGGUUGUAAGAUGAAGACUGAAGAAGAAGAAAAAGACAGGUGUUACACCCAUAUUCUACAACCGUAGAAUAGUCUCAUAAUGCGAUGAUUGCCGUGUGUACCAAAAUAAACUGAAAUUGCAGAGCACAAAAUUUCCAGCUCCAACCCGAAAAAACAUGUAGUUGUAAGUGCCAAAUUAUGAUUAUUUGAACCCUAUUAAUGGUAAUUUGGUAACCAUGGGCACUUUGACCUUGUCCGAAUGUUUUUCAAAGCAAGCACUCUGAAACGUUUGCACAGCAUUCUUAUAACAGAUAAAACAGAUAAAAAUGUAAGUUUUAAGACCAGGUAGGAUUUGGGGGCUUGGUGGGAGUGUGUAUAUACACAGCUGAUCUACUUUUAUUAUUUUUAUUUAACCAUUUGUGUUUUAUGGUACAGGCUGAAUACAGCUGAACAGUUAUUUUUAGCUUAGUAUGCUACUGUAAUGAAGCCAGUUGCAAUAACCCUCAACAUACUCCAAGGGGUCCUACAUGUAGGAAAUAUAUUGAAAAUCCUAGAAUUAUGCAGGUAUAGUGUGUAAAUCUGUCUUGGCACAGGACUAGAGUACAUAAAAAUCAACUGGUGAUCAGCAUGUAAAAUGAUGCCCACUGCUACAGCAUCACUUCAGAUGAAAAGGCCUCUUUGCAUCCAUGAACACAAGGCACUCAGAGACAGAAGGAUCUGUUACACUCUUUUCCAAAAGUCAAGAAUUUGUCUCUAAACGUAAACAUAGCCUUUUAAGGUUACUCCUAAAAGAUUGAGACUGCAUUGUAAAUGAUUGCAUUGAGACCCAAUUACUUCUGAAUUCAACAGUAAAAUUCUGUAAACUGAUGGUUCAAGAAAGAACAUAUGACCAAGUAAACUUUCAUAUACUGAAGUGCAAACACAACCAAGUUCAUACACAAACAAUAACAAACACACAGUCUGCACACACAUUCUCUUUUGUUAUCUGUUCUGCUAUCUUGUUUAAAUGCAGAUGCUAACAAGUUUGUGUUGUGAAUGUGAAAAUAAAGACAGUUACUGUAACUGUAAGAAAAA